rnacentral:rRNA from 1 species
UACGACUACAUAUCAGGCAUAUCAAUAAGCGGAGGAAAAGAAACUAACAAGGAUUCCCUUAGUAACGGCGAGUGAAGCGGGAAGAGCUCAAAUUUGAAAUCUUCAAGGUUCUACCUUGACGAAUUGUAGUUUAAAGAAGUGUUUUCUGUUAGAUGAGUAGCAAAAGUUCCUUGGAAUGGGACAUCAUAGAGGGUGAGAAUCCCGUAUUUGGUUAUUCAUUCUAGCUUUGUGAUACACUUUCAAAGAGUCGGAUUGUUUGGGAAUGCAGUCCAAAAUGGGUGGUAAAUUUCAUCUAAAGCUAAAUAUUGGCGAGAGACCGAUAGCGAACAAGUACCGUGAGGGAAAGAUGAAAAGAACUUUGAAAAGAGAGUUAAACAGUACGUGAAAUUGUCAAAAGGGAAGCGUUUGACACCAGUGUUGUUUUUCCGAAAAUCAAUUACGAAUGGCUUGAUUUUGUGUUGUAUUGACCUUAUCAGCUUUCUUCACUUUUUUCGAGUCUUUCUUAAUGCACUUUUCGGUUAACAAGUCAACAUCAAUUUCUUUUGUUGUAAAAGAGUAUUCGGAAGGUGGCUUUCUUUUCGGAGAAAGUGUUUAUAGCCCUAGUACUUCUACAAUCGGAGAGAUUGAGGUCUGCAGCGUAGAUCCUUCGGGGUUAGAUACACUUGUGCUAAGUUGUAGCUUUUCAUAGACAACUUGUUGACUAUGUUUUAGUCAUUGCGGCUUACUCGCUUAUGCUAUUUUACCUACGCUUAGGAUGUUGAGUAGCGACAUACGCAC